UAAUACAGAGGUCUCAAGCGUUGUUCGGAUUCAUUGGGCGUAAAGGGUGCGUAGGCGGUGCCGUAAGUCGGGUGUGAAAUCCCGGGGCUUAACCCCGGAACUGCAUUCGAUACUGCGGUGCUCGAGGACUGGAGAGGAGACUGGAGUUCACGGUGUAGCAGUGAAAUGCGUAGAUAUCGUGAGGAAGGCCAGUGGCGAAGGCGGGUCUCUGGACAGUUCCUGACGCUGAGGCACGAAGGCCAGGGGAGCAAACGG
rnacentral:rRNA from 1 species